GGGCCCGCACAAGCGGUGGAGUAUGUGGUUUAAUUCGAUGCAACGCGAAGAACCUUACCAGGGUUUGACAUCCUGCGAAUCUCUUGGAAACAGGAGAGUGCCUUCGGGAACGCAGUGACAGGUGGUGCAUGGCUGUCGUCAGCUCGUGUCGUGAGAUGUUGGGUUAAGUCCCGCAACGAGCGCAACCCACGUCUUUAGUUGCCAGCAUUCAGUUGGGCACUCUAGAGAGACUGCCGGUGAUAAACCGGAGGAAGGUGUGGAUGACGUCAAGUCAUCAUGCCCCUUACAUCCUGGGCUACACACGUACUACAAUGCUACGGACAAAGGGCAGCAAGUUCGCGAGGACAAGCAAAUCCCAUAAACCGUGGCUCAGUUCAGAUCGUAGGCUGCAACUCGCCUACGUGAAGGCGGAAUC
rnacentral:rRNA from 1 species